rnacentral:lncRNA from 1 species
AUUUUUAGAAUGGUAGGAAAUUUGAUGGAGAAAACCCCUGUAAAAUCCUCCAGUCUGUCACCUUGCUGAUGCUGGAUAAUUCUGACAGACAAGGUGUGUGUACUCUUUACAAAGAUACUUGUCAAGUAUGUACACUCCUGCACACUGCUGAAAUCUCUUCAUUCAUUAAAAGCAAAUGGGUGUUUGAAAUCCUAUCAGCAGUUUUGUAGGAUCGAAUCCUUAGUGUCAGAGGAACACAGGAUCUGGCUCCAUUUUCUUCAGUUUUCACUUGAGCCAGUAUGUGAGGACUUAAAUGGGACUUUGUUUAAAAGUAGCAAACAUGAAGUAUUAUUUUCUAGUACUAAGCUAGUGGUUAACAUGUCUAUUUUUUGCUGUCUUGCCACCAAUACUGUAAAAAUGUAUAAUCAAACCAGCUUUAAUUCUUGUAAAACUGAAAUUGGUUUGUAAAACAAUGUAUAAAUUGUGUUUCAUAGACAGAAAAGCUUGUAUUACUGAAUGUAAUAUAUGUGAAAUGAAUAUAUUAUAGUCUAUUUUUGCCAUGGAAAUAAAUAUUUGAAGCAAUUAUGAGUUUUUAUAGUUCCAUUAUUAAAGGAAAAAUCCAAGAAUUUACUGUUCAUGUGUAGUCGUAAGCUGGGACUUGGCUUUCAGUUCACAAAGGUGUGAUCCCUCUUCUAAUGUUCUACAAGUACUGGGUAUAAAAUUUGUGCUGUCAGGUACUAAUAGGUGUCAUCUUUGUGGCAGGAAAGUCUUGUGCCUGCUGCUCUGUCAUAUUUUUUCACAAUGUUUUGCAUUUUCUAAAGCUGUUUUUGGUACUGAACUUCCAGUUUUCCUCCUAACAUUUAAGUGUAGGAGGCAUUAAAAACUUUUGAAAUUUGGAGAACCCUUUCCAAAAGCAUGUGAGAGAAGAAACAGUUGAUUGUAUGCUUACUAUGAUUGGAGCUGCUGCCAACAACAAGCACUGAAGUUAUUUUCAUUCUAGAAUUGGCAAUGAGUUAAAAAGGGAGGUGCUGCAGCAGCUUGCUCUAUACACCUGGUACAGCGUGAGGCUUUGUGAGGUGAAUGGAAGAACUGCACACUGGACAUUGUAGUUUCACACUGGACAAGUGCAUUUCUAUUGUCUUUGCUUUGUCAAGAGCAUUAUCCACCUAGCUACAUCUGAAAAAAUCAGGCUUUUAACUAAAUUUUGUCUUCUAGGUGCACUCAGUUUGAGGACAUUAAUCAGCUUAAGGUAAGACAGUUACAAACCAUAGAUACAUCUGUACUUGUCAGAGCAGUUCCCAAGUCCUGGGGAAUGUCCUGUGCGAUGCUCAUUGUAAGCAAAGCUCUUUUAUUAGACAUGGAUACAAAGUCAGAGGAGGAAAAUGGGACUUCCUGGGACCUGAGGCUCAUGGUGAAGCAUUCAGCAGUUUUGAUCACACUUACUAUUUAUACUGGUUUUAGACCUCUGGCAAAGGUAUCUUCAGAAACCUAAAUUUCCUCCUAAUCCAGAUGGUUUUAAACGGCAGUUGUUAUGUUCCAGCCACUGUAAAAUCCCCAUUAGAGACUUCUGGUAGCCAGAGCUGGUUGACAGGACAUGACUUGAUGCUUGGCACAUCUGGCCAGAAGCUUUCUUGGGCAAGAGCUCCAGGACUUGGUACACGAGAAACGUAUGGGAGCUGAUGAGAGAAGUUCCCAGCUCACCCAGAACAACAGUAGGAAUCCAAAUGACAGGUAUCAGAUGUAGCAGCUUUGAUGCACUGCAAAAAAGCUCAAUCAACCCAAAAUAAGGAGCAUUGCUGAGUGUAUGCACUCCCUGCAGUCAGAGCAAAUUUGUCCUCAGUGCCAUGGUGUUAGGAGGGCUGCCAUGGUGAGUUUAGCAUUUUCAGUGCAUAUAUGCUAUCAAGCCUGUUUUCAGGAGAAAGGGUCAGCCUUAUCCCUCUGCACAGUGCUAGUGUUUAAAUAAUGACAAAUAAGCAGAACUGAGAGUAAUGGACGUUCUGAAAAUGCUUCACAAAUACUACAGGUUGAAUUUCCUGAUAUUUGGGAAGGUAACUUUGGCUAGGGGCUGGCUCAGUCUACCACUCACCUGCCCCUGAGCUUUGUUACUGGAGCGUGCCUGAGACUGCACCACAGUGUUUUGUGGCAGGGCUGUGCUCUCACCUGCCAGCUCCUUCCUCAGGUAAAGGGAGGAACAAGGAGCUGGCUGGGGAGAUGUGCCUAAGAAUCCUUUGGGGAGAUCAGAUAGC